rnacentral:pre_miRNA from 1 species
AAAGAGUGUAGCUUUAUAUUAUUCGUAUCCAAUGUUUGACCAUUCGUCUUAUUUAUUUUUUUUUAUAAUUAAUAUUAUGUUAUUAGAUGAUAAAACAUGAAUAAUACUUUAUGUACGACUAUUCUAUUUUAUUUUUUUAUAAAACUUUUAAAUAAGAUUGACGGUCAUACAUUCAACACGGAUAUCCACACUACAG